rnacentral:rRNA from 1 species
UACGUAGGGUGCGAGCGUUAAUCGGAAUUACUGGGCGUAAAGCGUGCGCAGGCGGUUUUGUAAUUCGGAUGUUAAAUCCCCGGGCUCAACCUGGGAAUGGCAUUCGGGACUGCAAGGCUGGAGUGCGGCAGAGGAGACUGGAAUUCCUGGUGUAGCAGUGAAAUGCGUAGAUAUCAGGAGGAAUACCGAUGGCGAAGGCAGGUCUCUGGGCUGACACUGACGCUCAUGCACGAAAGCGUGGGGAGCAAACAGG